rnacentral:misc_RNA from 1 species
GAUGAAGAACGUAGUGAAAUGCGAUACGUAAUGUGAAUUGCAAAUUCAGUGAAUCAUCGAGUCUUUGAACGCACAUUGCGCCCCCUGGUAUUCCGGGGGGCAUGCCUGUCCGAGCGUCAUUGCUGCCCUCAAGCACGGCUUGUGUGUUGGGCCCCGUCCUCCGAUUCCGGGGGACGGGCCCGAAAGGCAGCGGCGGCACCGCGUCCGGUCCUCGAGCAUAUGGGGCUUUGUCACCCGCUCUGUAGGCCCGGCCGGCGCUUGCCGAUCAACCCAAAUUUUUAUCCAGGUUGACCUCGGAUCAGGUAGGGAUACCCGCUGAACUUAAGCAUAUCAAUAAGCGGAGGA